AAACAUUUCUUUUAAAAUUUAUUUAAAGUAAAACCUGCUCAAUGAAAAUUUAAUAGCCGCAGUAAUUUAACUGUGCUAAGGUAGCAUAAUCAUUAGUCUCUUAAUUAGAGACUAGAAUGAAAGGUUAAACAUUUCCUUAACUUUCUUGUAGAUAAUAUAUAAAAUUAUAUUAAAUAUAAAAAUAUAUUUAUUCUAAAAAUAGACGACAAGACCCUUUCAAACUUUACUUAAGUUAAACUGGGGUAGUUUAAUAAAUAAAAUCUUAUUCUAAAAUUUUAAAAAUAGACCCGAAAAACCCGAUAAAAUGAACAAGUUACUGAAGGGAUAACAGCAUAAUUAAUUUUAAUAGAUCUUAUUAAAAAAUUAGUUUAUGACCUCGAUGUUGAAUUAUUUUCCUCUCACACGCAAGCGUGUGAAAAGAAGGUCUGUUCGACCUUUAAAUUUUUACAUGAUCUGAGU
rnacentral:rRNA from 1 species